GACGAAGGGGGCUAGCGUUGUUCGGAAUUACUGGGCGUAAAGCGAGUGUAGGUGGUUGUCGUAGUCAGGCGUGAAAGCCUUGAGCUCAACUCAAGAAAUGCGCUUGAUACUGGGCAGCUAGAGGACCGGAGAGGAUAGUGGAAUUCCCAGUGUAGUGGUGAAAUACGUAGAGAUUGGGAAGAACACCAGUGGCGAAGGCGGCUAUCUGGACGGUUUCUGACACUAAGACUCGAAAGCGUGGGGAGCGAACAGG
rnacentral:rRNA from 1 species